UGACAUAAUUAAUGGGGGAAAAGCACGUUAUAGAGCAAUAGGUGCGGAGAUUCUUUAAAGGCAAAUUCUUUGCCUAUGGAAAGGUAAAACCACAAAACUUCAAGUGAUAUUUUCAAAAUGUUAAGAUUUGGUUGGAUUUAUAUAGGCUAUUUCAUAAAGUUAAAAUUUAUUGGGUGAAAUGUAUUACUUUUGUCAUCAUGAAAAGUGUUGCUAUACUCAUCUUUUCAGAAACGCAUCUAUUUGGGUAAAGCAGGAACCUAAAUAAUUGUUCUGGAUCAUUAAAUAAGAUCCUAAUUCUUUCUUAAACAGUUGUAGUUUUAGUGAAUUGAUACAAUAAUUAAAGUGAUUAAUUAAAGAUUGAACUAAAAAUGAUACCACUUAGACACUAAUGAUAAACUUACUGUGAUAACAAAAAAAAAUGUCUAGUGUUGAGACUUUUAUUCUUCAAAUUUUGGUUGGUAUAUAUAUGUAUAUAUGUAUAUAGCAGACACAAGAUAGCUACUGCAGUAGUGGUAGGUGGACUGCAGACCAUUCUUAGAAAAAUACUGCAGAAGUUCUUCUUCAUUGCCAGCGGAAUCUCAUUUCUCACCUUGCAGGUGUCCUAGGCAAGCAGCCCAGUACUACCCACCAGCAGUUUGUAGGAACAAAGUAACGAUGCCAACUAAGGGAAGUGUGAAACUUGAAUUUUCUUUACCUGUAAGGAAGGAGUGGGCAGAGCGAAAGAGACUUAAAUGGCCUUGGAGUGGAGGUAUGAGCACUGAGCCAACUGUAAGAGAUAGUGGAAGAAAGGGUGGGUGAGACUUGGGAAGGGAAAAAAGAUACUUUUGUUUCUCAGAGCCAGGAUGGAAGGAGAGAAUGAUUAAUCAUUGGGGGUGGAGGUAGAGAAAUGUGGAACUGUUCGCAUCUUAGUUUUAUAACAUAAUGUUUUCAACUAUGAUUUGUAGACUCUACAGAAACAUUAUAUAUGUGGCUAAUGUUGAACGUUGAUAAAAGCCAAAGAUGUGUCAACAGUGUGUAACUCAAUUUGUAUGAUUUUGUGUUGGGGAAAGCUAAUGACAUCUAAAUGGACAAAUUUUCAGACUAGAAUUUCCAUUAGGCUAACUUCCAGUACAUUUGUGUCUAAAUUGGACUUCUGUAGAGCAGGUUAAUAAUCAUCUCAGAGUUGAAUUUUGUGGUAAAUAAGCUCCAAGGAAGACAAAAUAAGUAAAUGAAUAAGUCUGUACUUUACACAUCAGAAUCAAACUGCAGUGCUCCAGCUACAGAAAAUAAAGAGAAAGCUUAAAAUACUAACAAGAGAAGAAAAAACAUUAACUACAAGGGUAAGUAAUUAGAUUAGAUUGGCAACAAACUUCUCAGUAGCAACAGUAGAAGAAUGAAGAAAGAAGGGAAAUAUCUUUAAAGAAAACAUAGUUCUCCAUGCAAUUCGUGCCCUCACUGGGUGUGGUACAAAAAUAAUGAAUACGGUUAUACUGAAAAUAAAUAAAAAUAAAUAAAUAAACGAAAUGUAAAAAAAAAAAAUAAAGAAAACAUAGUUGUCAAUCUAGUAUACCCAACUAUGAUUUAAGGGCAAAGGUAAAAUGAAGACAUUGAAAAGUAAUAUUGAAAGAAUUUACCAGUUAAACAUUCUCAUGGAAAAAUUACUUAAGAACACACUUUAGGUGGGGUGCCUGGGUGGCUCAGUGGUAGGCAUCUGCCUUCAGCUCAGGUCAAGAUCUCAGGGUCCUAGGAUCGAGCCCUGAAUCAAGCUCCCUGCUUAGCAUGGAGCCUGCUUCUCUCUCUGCCUUUCUCCUGGCUUAUGCUCUGUCUCUCAAAUAAAUUGAAAUUUUUAAAAAAAUUAACAAUUAAACCUAUAAACUUUAAAAAAGUUUUAAAGAACACACUUUGGGAGUAAAGACUUGUGAAUGUACAGAAGGAAAAUAGGAGAAGCAAGAGGAAAUGUGAUCGAAAGAAAUUAGUAAACAUGGCAGUAUCUAACUAAUCACUAACUCUAUAAAACAAUGAAGACAGUACUGAUUAAAGACAAAGCAUAUGUGGAGUUAAAAUACUAACAACAAUAAUGUGUAGAACAGGAGGAAUGUGAGUAGAGUGAAAAGUUCUGCAGACCUUUUAUUACCCAGGAAGAAGAGAGAGAAAUUUUUUCAGAUUUUAAGUCAAAUCAUGCAUGUGGAAAUUAUAAAGGUAACCACUAAAGUUACAGAAAUAGAAUAUAUAAAAUUCAAAUAACUCAAAAUCUGAAAACAAUAAAGAUCAAACUUAAGCUGAGCAAGAGAAUAAAAAAGAGCUGUAGAGAAUUUUUCAUAUUGUGCCUGCUGGCUCUUUUCUGUAUUACUUUGAAGAUGUUUCACUAUCAGUUGUGAAUGUCUUUGAGUUUAUGGGCUUAGGAAAGAGGGAGACGAUGCAGUUUCCUCCAUACUUGUGACAUGCCAGCCAACAUAGCACUGAAUGUUAGUGUCACAGAGUGUCAUUUUGGUGGUGAAAUGAUCAGAUGCAUAGAAAUUCCAACAGAAUUAAGAGAAAUCUAUUAGAACUGAAAAGAGUUCAGGAAAGUUUUAGGUAUACAACCCCUUUAUAAAAAUCAAUAGUAUUUUCCUAUGUCAUUAUCAACUAGAAAAUAUAAUUGAAAUAUGAUGCUAUUUAUAAUAUCCCACAAAUGAAUAAAUAUCUAGAAACUAACUUAAAAAAGAAAGCCAAGGGGUACCUGGGUGGCUCAGUGGGUUACAGCUUGUGCCUUCAGCUCAGGUCAUCAUCCCGGGAUCCUGGGAUUGAGCCC
ensembl:lincRNA